rnacentral:rRNA from 1 species
CCUCGGACUAUUGUGGUGAAUCAUAGUAACUGAUCGGAUCGCGGGCUCGCCCCGCGACAGACCAUUCAAGUUUCUGCCCCAUCAGCUUUCGAUGGUAGUGUAUUGGACUACCAUGGCUUUCACGGGUAACGGAGGAUUAGGGUUCGAUUCCGGAGAGGGAGCCUGAGAAACGGCUACCACAUCUAAGGAUGGCAGCAGGCGCGUAAAUUACCCAAUCCUGAUUCAGGGAGGUAGUG